rnacentral:rRNA from 1 species
AUUGAACGCUGGCGGCAGGCCUAACACAUGCAAGUCGAACGAGUGGCGGACGGGUGAGUAAUGUCUGGGAAACUGCCUGAUGGAGGGGGAUAACUACUGGAAACGGUAGCUUAUACCGCAUACCAUCAUUAGUGCCCCGAUGGGAUUAGCUGGUAGGUGGGGUAAUGGCUCACCUAGGCGACGACCCCUAGCGGGUCUGGUGGGAUGACCAGCCACACUGGAACUGAGACACGGUCCAGACUCCUACGGGAGGAGGCGGUGGGAAAUAUUGCACAUGGGGCGAAAGCCUGAUGCAGCCAUGCCGCGUGUGUGAAGCGGGCCUUCGGGUUGUAAGGCACUUUCAGCGAGGAGGCGUUACUCGCAGAAGAAGCACCGGCUAACUCCGUGCCAGCAGCCGCGGUAAUAC